rnacentral:rRNA from 1 species
UACGUAGGGCGCAAGCGUUGUCCGGAAUUAUUGGGCGUAAAGAGCUCGUAGGCGGUCUGUCGCGUCUGCCGUGAAAACCCGAGGCUUAAUCUCGGGCUGGCGGUGGAUACGGGCAGACUAGAGGUAGGUAGGGGAGAAUGGAAUUCCCGGUGUAGCGGUGAAAUGCGCAGAUAUCGGGAGGAACACCGGUGGCGAAGGCGGUCUCUGGGCCUUACCUGACGCUGAGGAGCGAAGCGUGGGGAGCGAACAGG